CUAUUUACCGGGCAGGGGAGGUACCAUGAUCAUGAAGGUGGUUUUCCCAGAAUGAGGCUUAUCCAUUGCAUUUCAGAUGUGCUGCCCUCUGCGAUUUCCCCAAAUGUGAGAAACUUGGCUGCAUGAUUUGUGGUAGUGGUGUAAUAUGUUCGCUCUCUCCCCUU